rnacentral:tRNA from 15 species
GGGGCUAUAGCUCAGCUGGGAGAGCGCUUGCAUGGCAUGCAAGAGGUCGCCGGUUCGAUCCCGGCUAGCUCCACCA